CCUGGUGGCUCAGAUGGUAAAGAAUCUGCCUGCAAUGCAGGAGACCCAGGUUUGAUCCCUGGGCCAGGA
rnacentral:tRNA from 1 species